CAACCCCGGGCGUGGCAGAUCAACGUGACUUAAGGAUAUACAAUUCUUCUAACUACUGCUAUCAAAUCAUACGUGAAGUGAGAGGUGUGCUGUUUUUAUCACGGACUGAGGCAGAUCUAACGUGACCCAAGGAUACAACUCGACAGGGCUUCAUCUGUUGCUUUUCUUUAGUUAAUAUGAUGGACCUCGAUGUUCUUCUAUCGUGGAAGCCACAUAUCCUCAACAUAACUAAAGCUGCCUCCUGGAAGCUGGGAAUGCUGUACAGAUGCCGUAAUUACUUCACGCCUGAGCUGUUAUUUCAGGUACUUCAAUGGGCAAAGUUCGGUGGAUUUGGUAUCUUGUGUACCGCCUGCAGGGCCGUGGGCUCGUAAUACAGUUUCUGCCCACCGUUUGUGUGAGGAUGUGGGUCACACUAUACUAACCCGUUAUAGUACCUCCUUCUUUCCUCGCACUGUUGAAUGCUCUGCCUUCUGUGUUUCCCUACAAUGUCUCCUUACACAAGAUGGUUUAUCCUCCCGGGCUCUACCUGGAGUGUCUAUUGAUCCUGUUCAAGCAGAUAGGUGUAGUCCGGCUCACAGUGAACUUGGGCUAAUGCAGUUUUCAUCCAGAACACAAAAUGACCUUGGCCUUGUGGUCGACCAAUGAAGAGCUCGGUGUAGGUCGGAAAGGUUCUGUUUACACAUCUUUGUAAUUUCUUUUGCUCGGUUGUAAAAUAAACUAAAACUAAA